GGGUUGUGAGGUUAAGCGACUAAGCGUACACGGUGGAUGCCCUGGCAGUCAGAGGCGAUGAAGGGCGUGCUAAUCUGCGAUAAGCGCCGGUAAGGUGAUAUGAACCGUUAUAACCGGCGAUACCCGAAUGGGGAAACCCAGUGUGACUCGUCACACUAUCAUUAACUGAAUCCAUAGGUUAAUGAGGCGAACCGGGGGAACUGAAACAUCUAAGUACCCCGAGGAAAAGAAAUCAACCGAGAUUCCCCCAGUAGCGGCGAGCGAACGGGGAGGAGCCCAGAGCCUGAAUCAGCAUGUGUGUUAGUGGAAGCGUCUGGAAAGGCGCGCGAUACAGGGUGACAGCCCCGUACACAAAAGCGCAUGUGCUGUGAGCUCGAUGAGUAGGGCGGGACACGUGGUAUCCUGUCUGAAUAUGGGGGGACUAUCCUCCAAGGCUAAAUACUCCUGACUGACCGAUAGUGAACCAGUACCGUGAGGGAAAGGCGAAAAGAACCCCGGGAGGGGAGUGAAAAAGAACCUGAAACCGUGUACGUACAAGCAGUGGGAGCCCCACCACCAAAGCAUUCUCUGGUGUUGAAGGCCCUGCAAAGCAGCAUCGCGGUGGCGGAGCGUCGUUUGCGACGCCCAACACACAAAACAAGCGGUGAAUGCUUUG
rnacentral:rRNA from 1 species